rnacentral:rRNA from 1 species
CGAGUAGGCGGGACGGAAAGUCAGAUGUGAAAUACCGAGGCUUAACUUCGGGCUGCAUUUGAAACUUCUGUUCUUGAGUGAUGGAGAGGCAGGCGGAAUUCCCGGUGUAGCGGUGAAAUGCAUAGAGAUCGGGAGGAACACCAGUGGCGAAGGCGGCCUGCUGGACAUUAACUGACGCUGAGGCGCGAAAGUGUGGGGAGCAAACA